UAGCGGCGGACGGGUGAGUAACACGUGGGCAACCUGCCCCUUAGACUGGGAUAACUCCGGGAAACCGGAGCUAAUACCGGAUAAUCCCUUUCUCCACCUGGAGAGAGGGUGAAAGAUGGCUUCGGCUAUCACUAGGGGAUGGGCCCGCGGCGCAUUAGCUAGUUGGUAAGGUAACGGCUUACCAAGGCAACGAUGCGUAGCCGACCUGAGAGGGUGAUCGGCCACACUGGGACUGAGACACGGCCCAGACUCCUACGGGAGGCAGCAGUAGGGAAUCUUCCGCAAUGGACGAAAGUCUGACGGAGCAACGCCGCGUGAGUGAGGAAGGCCUUCGGGUCGUAAAGCUCUGUUGUGAGGGAAGAAGCGGUACCGUUCGAAUAGGGCGGUACCUUGACGGUACCUCACC
rnacentral:rRNA from 2 species